rnacentral:rRNA from 1 species
UACGUAGGGGGCAAGCGUUGCCCGGAUUUAUUGGGCGUAAAGAGCGUGUAGGCGGCCGUACAGGUCAGCUGUGAAAACUCGAGGCUCAACCUCGAGACGUCGGUUGAAACCGUACGGCUAGAGUCCGGAAGAGGAGAGUGGAAUUCCCGGUGUAGCGGUGAAAUGCGCAGAUAUCGGGAAGAACACCCGUGGCGAAGGCGGCUCUCUGGGACGGUACUGACGCUGAGACGCGAAAGCGUGGGGAGCGAACAGG